rnacentral:rRNA from 2 species
UACAGAGGUCCCAAGCGUUGUUCGGAUUCACUGGGCGUAAAGGGUGCGUAGGUGGCGGGGUAAGUUUGAUGUGAAAUCUCUGAGCUUAACUCGGAAACUGCAUUGAAUACUAUCUUGCUAGAGGAUUGGAAGGGGGACUGGAAUUCUUGGUGUAGCAGUGAAAUGCGUAGAUAUCAAGAGGAACACCAGUGGCGAAGGCGAGUCCCUGGACAACACCUGACACUGAGGCACGAAAGCUAGGGGAGCAAACAGG